CCUUCAGAACAUGAGUUUAAAGUGAAUAUUUUGCAUAAUUUUAAGAUAGUUUCAGACAUUCUUCUAUAGCAGUCAUAACAGUUACAUUUUAAUGUGCUUCACUAAGCCUAUUAUUCCACUUUUUAGUGUUGCUGCUAGAUGACUGCGCAAUAGUAGGUAUCAGCUUUGUGAUCACAUACGAGUAUAUGCCACGGAGAGAGCGUUUUAAGAAGGUCCAGAGAAGCCCAUCACUUGCCUUUUGCAAUAAGCCAGCCAAAAAAAGAGGGAACAAUUUGUCUCAUAAAAUUAAACCCUAAUUUGAUUAAAAAGAAACACAACGUCCGUUAAUUUAGUAUCAGCGGUCCCUUAAUUAUGGUAAUAAUUUCAAGAAAUAAGUUAAAAAUGCGGCUAGUGGACAUCACAUGACUUCCUUGCACGGCGUAUUAAAUUACAACUAUUUUAGCCCCACUUCAUUUAAACUUAAUUUAAACAUUCAUUUUCUCGGAUUAUUAUGAGUUAAUCUAUUCCUGAAGACAAGUUGAAAAGGAAAUCACGAACUGCAAAUUUUGAAAUUAAAUAUCCUGGUUAAUUUUUGUGGUAUGGGAGUCAAACUUCUUAUAAUUUUAUUGCUUCACAAUGCUUUCCCAAAUAUUUUAGAUUUUGCUAUUUGUCCAAAAUUAAUUUUAUUUUUAAAUUUGACAUGAACAGAAGGCUUAAAUCAAUGUCUUUUCAGACUAAGCGAGUUAUCACUCCAGCCUGAACUAAGAUGACAGUUUUACGAAGAUUAAAAUAACAUGUUAAUUAAUUCUUUAAAUUUAACAGGAGACCCCACUUGUGCACAUAAAACAAAAUUCCGUCACUGGCGAGUGUUUAAAAUAACAGAUGGUGAAGUUUAAAAUUCAAGUAUCAUAGUCGGAGACUACAUAAGCUGGCUCAAAUACGAAGCAUUUUUAACGUUUGUCUUGAAAAAUGGCUAAAGCUGGAAUAAACUCUGGCAUAGCUGGCGAGGACGUAAACUACAAGCUAGGUUCCCGAAAACUCUAACUCUAAAAUGUUCAAAUUCUCGGUUUAAAUAUUCACGUAACCAGUUGGCAUUUUGGUGAUGACUAUGGAAAGAUGAAAUUUCAAAUGAUAAUAAUUGGUUAAUGAACAUAAAAUGCUUGCAGUAUCCUCA